UACGUGAGGGUGCGAGCGUUAAUCGAAUACUGGGCGUAAAGCGUGCGCAGGCGGUUUUGUAAGACAGAGGUGAAAUCCCCGGGCUCAACCUGGGAACUGCCUUUGUGACUGCAAGGCUUGAGUGCGGCAGAGGGGGAUGGAAUUCCGCGUGUAGCAGUGAAAUGCGUAGAUAUGCGGAGGAACACCGAUGGCGAAGGCAAUCCCCUGGGCCUGCACUGACGCUCAUGCACGAAAGCGUGGGGAGCAAACAGG
rnacentral:rRNA from 1 species